AUGAACGCUAGCGGCAGGCUUAACACAUGCAAGUCGAGGGGUAUAGGGAGCGUUGCUUCCUAGAGACCGGCGCACGGGUGCGUAACGCGUAUGCAAUCUACCUUUGCAGAGGAUAGCCCAGAGAAUUUGGAUUAAUACCUCAUAGUAUGUGAGAAUGGCAUCAUUUUCACAUUAAAGUCACAACGGUGAAAGAUGAGCAUGCGUCCCAUUAGCUAGUUGGUAAGGUAACGGCUUACCAAGGCAACGAUGGGUAGGGGUCCUGAGAGGGAGAUCCCCCACACUGGUACUGAGACACGGACCAGACUCCUACGGGAGGCAGCAGUGAGGAAUAUUGGACAAUGGGCGCAAGCCUGAUCCAGCCAUGCCGCGUGCAGGAUGACGGUCCUAUGGAUUGUAAACUGCUUUUAUACAGGAAGAAACACUACUUCGUGAAGUAGCUUGACGGUACUGUAAGAAUAAGGAUCGGCUAACUCCGUG
rnacentral:rRNA from 1 species